rnacentral:rRNA from 1 species
GACGAACGCUGGCGGCGUGCCUAAUACAUGCAAGUUGAGCGCUGAAGGUUGGUACUUGUACCAAUUUGAUGAGCAGCGAACGGGUGAGUAACGCGUGGGGAAUCUGCCUUUGAGCGGGGGACAACAUUUGGAAACGAAUGCUAAUACCGCAUAAUAACUUUAAACACAAGUUUUAAGUUUGAAAGAUGCAAUUGCAUCACUCAAAGAUGAUCCCGCGUUGUAUUAGCUAGUUGGUGAGGUAAAGGCUCACCAAGGCGAUGAUACAUAGCCGACCUGAGAGGGUGAUAGGCCACAUUGGGACUGAGACACGGCCCAAACUCCUACGGGAGGCAGCAGUAGGGAAUCUUCGGCAAUGGAAGAAAGUCUGACCGAGCAACGCCGCGUGAGGGAAGAAGGUUGUCGGAUCGUAAAACUCUGUUGGUAGAGAAGAACGUUGGUGAGAGUGGAAAGCUCAUCAAGUGACGGUAACUACCCAGAAAGGGACGGCUAACUACGUG